GACGAACGCUGGCGGCGUGCCUAACACAUGCAAGUCGAACGGAGCUGUUUUGGACGGAGACUUCGGUCAAAGACCAUAACAGCUUAGUGGCGGACGGGUGAGUAACGCGUGAGUAACCUGCCGUUCAGAGGGGGACAACAGUUGGAAACGACUGCUAAUACCGCAUAAGCGCACGGUAUCGCAUGAUACAGUGUGAAAAACUCCGGUGGUAUAAGAUGGACCCGCGUCUGAUUAGCUAGUUGGUGAGGUAACGGCCCACCAAGGCGACGAUCAGUAGCCGGCCUGAGAGGGUGAACGGCCACAUUGGGACUGAGACACGGCCCAAACUCCUACGGGAGGCAGCAGUGGGGAAUAUUGCACAAUGGGGGAAACCCUGAUGCAGCGACGCCGCGUGAGUGAUGAAGUAUUUCGGUAUGUAAAACUCUAUCAGCAGGGAAGAUAAUGACGGUACUGACUAAGAAGCACCGGCUAAAAUACGUAGCCAGCAGCCG
rnacentral:rRNA from 1 species